rnacentral:rRNA from 1 species
UACGGAGGGUGCGAGCGUUGUUCGGAAUCACUGGGCGUAAAGGGCGUGUAGGCGGUCCGCUAAGUCUGAUGUGAAAGCCCGGGGCUCACCCCCGGAAGUGCAUUGGAAACUGGCGGACUCGAGUCCCGGAGAGGAGAGUGGAAUUCCUGGUGUAGCGGUGAAAUGCGCAGAUAUCAGGAAGAACACCCGUGGCGAAGGCGGCUCUCUGGGACGGUACUGACGCUGAGACGCGAAAGCGUGGGGAGCGAACAGG